GACGAACGCUGGCGGCGUGCUUAACACAUGCAAGUCGAACGGAAAGGCCCUGCUUUGGUGGGGUGCUCGAGGGGCGAACGGGUGAGUAACACGUGAGUAACCUGCCCUUGACUGUGGGAUAACUUCAGGAAACUGGGGCUAAUACCGGAUAGGAGCUCCUGCUGCAUGGUGGGGGUUGGAAAGGUUCGGCGGUUGGGGAUGGACUCGCGGCUUAUUAGCUUGUUGGUGGGGUAGUGGCUUACCAAGGCUUUGACGGGUAGCCGGCCUGAGAGGGUGACCGGCCACAUUGGGCCUGAGAUGCGGCCCAGCCUCCUACGCGAGGCAGCAGUGGAGAAUAUUGCACAGUGGGCGGAAGCCUAAUGCAGCAAAGCCGCGUGCGGGAUGACGGCCUUCGGGUUGUAAACCGCUUUCGCCUGUGACGAAGCGUGAGUGACGGUAAUGGGUAAAGAAGCACCGGCUAACUCCGUG
rnacentral:rRNA from 1 species